AUAUAUAUAUAUUUCAAUAUACAGUUGAAAACAUAUUUCUCAGCUUUCACAAAGCCCACUAUGUAUUACUUACUAUAUGAGUCCCGUUUGUAUAUUCUGAGGAGGUUUUGCGCAUUAUACGAAGCCCGACAGUGUUGUCAAUAUUUACCUAGUACGCAGUUCCUUUCAAUAAAAUUACAAAUAUCCAAAUCUUCAAUAGGGCUGCACUUAUCUGGUUUCUAGAAAAUAUUAUGCACUUUUUUUAACAUAUUUGAGAGUUUACUUAGUGUAGUGUGUUGGUUUGUACUACCAGAAUGGACAGAACUAAAUUUCUCAUAAGUUUAGCUGCUCAAAAUGAAACAGGUAAUUAUGCAUCUUUAUUACCAUUUUUACGCCAAAGUUUAGAUAAAUAAUUAUUAAUAUACAGCGUUGGGCAAGUCUGGAACCAAGCGUUUUGUGCCUAAACUAUGUAUUUUACGCAAAAGCUACAUCAUCAACUACUUUAAAAAUGUGAUCAUUUUUCUAGAAUAAUUUUUUUCGAAAUUCCUUUUAGUUUUGGAGUUAUUCAAAAAAAAUUUUUUUUUAAAUGGCACCCUACCACGGCGAUUUGUUUGGUAAAAGCUAAUGUUCUAAAAAUAACUUCUGUUUUAAUAAAAAUAAUUUUAAAUCAAUGUUUUUUUUAAUAAAUUAUAGAACUUCCGGCCUGAAAUCAUUCCAAAGAUUAUUCUAAUUUGGUCGAAGUGGUUGUAUCCAUUGAUGCUUUUAAUCCACUAAUUUGAUUCGCCAAAAUUUUCGCAAACAUAAACAUCUAGGGAUACAACCACUUCGGCCAAAUUCGAAGCUUCGGUACGAAUUUGGAAGGCAAAUUUAAUAAUUUAUUUAAGAAAAAAUACUGGUUUAAAAUUAAUUUUAUUAAAUUAGAAGUUAUUUUUGGAGCAUAACCUUUUACCAAAAAAAUCACCGUAGCAGGGUGCGAUUUGACAAAAAACAUUUUUUUCAAUAAUUCGAAAACUAAAAUAGCUUCAAAAAAAUUUAUUCUUGAAAAAUAAUCACAUUUUUAAAGUAGUUGGUAAUGCAGUAAUUGGUUCUUUCGUCGAGUACAUAGUUUAGGCACAAAACGCUUGGUUUCAUACUUUUGCCCAACGCUGGAUAACGCAAAAUUGUUGCAGCACAUGUGACAGACGUGGGUGAAGUUACUCAUUUACCUAAACGUCAAAGGUCUACAUACUCCAGACCACCUUCUUCAGAAUCAAGAAGUAGCACAAGCAGUUUUCAAGAUUUUGCGAGCUCUGGUAGUGAAUAUGUACCUCCUGAUAAACAUCCAACUACUAAUUUUAAUUGGUCAGAUUCAGAUUCUGCCCAGCCUUCUCCUGAUAUUCCAUAUCUAAAGCAGAUUACCACAUCUCAAGAUCGAAUUAAAAUAGAUCCUACUUCGUUACCUGGUUGUUCAAAAGAUACGUGCAGUCCACUUGAACAAAAUCCUUGUAACGAAACCGAGCCACAUGCUCUUAAUGAUUCUCUUACCCGUAUUCAAAAGCCAAACCAAGAUUAUAUUAAGAAGCAAUCUGCUAGGGAAAGGCCAACAAUAUGUCCUAUUUGUUUUAAUGAUGUUAGCACCCAUUUUACACGCCAUCUACUUCGACACCACAAAAAGAGUAAAGAAGUGCAGCUCCUUGAAAGUCUUAAACCUCGGAGCAAAGAACGUUUAGCUCUAAUUGAGUCAUUAAGAAAGCAAGGAUACUUUCAUCUAAAGAAUGAAAAAGGGAUUUUGAAUCCUGUCAGAACCUCAAAAAACCCAGAUGUUGAGUAUUUUGUUUGCACAUAUUGCUUAGGUUACUUUAGUAAGAAACUUUUGUUAUAAGCAUGUCAAAGGUUGUAAAAAACGCCCUCCAGACGAAGCGACGCCUGGAAAUAAUUGUCUAGCCAGAUCUCAAACUUUUGCAUCAUUACUUGUCGUAAAAAAUGAUGAAUUUUUGAAAAAAUCUCGUCUGAAAAAGGAAGUUUUUGGAAUAAUGCGUCCAGACGAGAUUAGUGCAGUAGCGAAAAAUGAUUCAAUAAUUUGUUUGUGUGGAGAAACGCUAUUAAAUAAACACAAAAGACAACAAAUUGCUACCGUUGUUUCAAAUAAGAUAAGAGAAAUGGCCAGAUUAUUGAUUGCUUUAAAAUUAAUGGACAGAACAAUUUGUACUCUUUUUGACGCUUUAAAGCCUGAAAAUUUUAAGCAUUUGGUAUCGGCAGCUAAAGAAAUAAGUGGCUACAAUGCCGAAACAAAAAUGUUCAAGGCACCCUCGCUUGCGUUGCAUAUGGGCACUAAUUUGAAAAUCUUAUGUGACGUAGCCUUAAAAGUUGUCAUUGAAAAGAGACAUUUGCCGAACUUAAGAUGGGAAGAUGAUAGAGAAAAGAAAACAGAAAUCAAGGAACUGAAAAAACUAAUAAGUGGUCAUUGGUGUAAUGAGCUUUCAAGUUUGGCUUUGAAAAACUUAAAAGAAAAACAUUGGGAAAAACCAACAGAACUACCUCUAACAAGCGACAUUUUAACGUUACAAACGUUUAUUAGUGAACAGGCGGACAAAGCAUAUAAUAACUUGAUAAAUGAGGGAAAAACAAAUAUGCGACAAAAUUAUAAAACUUUAGCACAAUGUGUUUUGGCUUUAACAAUAAUGUUCAAUCGAAAACGUGUUGGCGAUGUUCAGUAUUUAAAAUUGGCAACAUACAUUUCGGCUGACAAGAACUCGGUUAUUGAAGGUGAACAAGCAUUUAUGCGUUCUCUCACAUCGGUGGAAGAAAUUUUAAGUAAACGAUUUAAAAGAGUGGUCACUGGUGGCAAAGGCUCUAAACCAGUUCCAAUUUUAUUUUCCAUAAAACUACAAAAAUUUAUAGAUUGUCUAAUUAAAAUCAGAACCGAAACAUCUAUUGUGCCAACAUCAAAUCCUUUCCUAUUUGCAAAUCCUGGAUCUCAAGACAGAUGGAUGAAUGGAAGCAACGUAAUGAGAAAACUUGCUUCUAGUUGUGGAGCAAAAAAUCCUAAUCUUUUAACAUCUACCAGAUUUAGAAAACAUAUUGCUACGACUUUACAACUAAUGAGUAUGGAAGACAAUGAGAUGGAACAAGUUGCUACAUUUAUGGGUCAUACUAAAAAAACACAUGCAGAAUUCUAUCGAUUACCGCAAGAUAUUUACCAGACGGCCAAAGUGGCUAAGAUUCUUUUGUUAUUAGAAAAAGGAAAAGGCGAACAGUUUAAAGGAAAAAGUCUAAAUGAGAUUGAAUUAGAGCGAGAUAUCUACUACAGUUCGGAAUCAGAAAGUGAAACAGAUGAAGCAAUACCACUUGCAGAAAAAGUUCUUAAAAAAGCGGCAAAUGCUUCAUUACAAAAUAAAGAAGAAAAGAAAAACGAAAAUGCAGAAAAUAAUACAAACACAGUCACAGAACAAUUAAAUCUAGAAGAGGAAGUAUGUAGUAGCAACAUGGAACAGGAAGCAGAUGCAGAAGUAGAAGAUGUUAAUGGGAAUUCAAAGAAAACAGAAAAUACGAAUAAAAGUAUUGGAAAGAAAAAAGAAAAAGAAAAUAAUUCAGAAAUGGAAGUAGACACUAAUAACAAUAGAAAGAAUGCAGGAGGAAAGAAUAAGCCUCUUGGAAAGAAAAGUGAAUCUUCAAACUCUGUGCGACAUCGAUGGUCAGAAAAAGAAAAAAGGAUCGUGCUGCAUCAUUUUCGUGGUCACAUUCUAAAGAAAGUUGCUCCGAAGAAACAUGAAUGCGAGGAACUUAUCUCUCAACACAAUGAUAUUCUUGGGUGUGUAAAUUGGGUGCUAGUGAAAACAUUAGUGUACAACACAUACCGUAAUCAAUAAUUUGUUCUUUGAGUUUUAAACUGUUAUUUUGUGAUAGUUGUUUGAAUUGUCUGUAUUUUUUUCAUAUUGUAUGUUUGAAUUUGAAUUGCUGUUUUAUGUUUGUGGUUUGCAUUUUCUCUAUUAUUUGUAUUUAACCAAUAAUUUGUACUUUGAGUUUUGUACUGCAAUUUAGUUUUUGUUGUUUGAAUUUCUUUUAUUUUUCUUAAUAAA